UCCAGAGCAUUAGUCAGCUCCUCGGGCUGCAGGCAGAGGUUUGGCUGCAUCAAGACCCAAAGGGUCAAGAGGGCUGCAGCAGCAUCUCAAAAGGAGCCUAAUCAGCUGCCGUCUAGAGAGGAGGCCAGGAAUCCAAGGAGAUCCCCUCCAGUGGAGGCUCGGCACACCUGGUCUCCUAUCCUCACCAUCCCCGGCUUUCUAGAGCCCUGCCUGACCGUCCUACCAUCAGGUCAGGCAUCGGGGCUGCUGGAAGCCUCCUGAGACUCCCCAGGCCCUGCAAGCCUGACAGGGAGCCCACCCCGUGGCCAGGCCAGCCCGCACCUGCUCAUGGUACUCCACGCCCAUGCUCAGCGUGUUGACAAGGAUGGCCAUCAUGAUGCCACGGCUGAAGUACUUGCUGUCCACGAUGCGGCGCAGCUUGCCGCUGAAGGUGGCGUGCCCGCUGCUCCCGCAUCAGCUGACUCUCCCGCUGCUUCGUCUCCGAGAACUGCGUGGCAAUCACCACCAGGCACAGGUUGAUCAUGAAGAAGGAGCCCACCUGUGACGGGGGCGGGCGGGUCCCCGCAGGGUGGCUCUAGGUAUACCUAGGACCCCACAGACGUCUGCGGCCUGAUUAACCCAACUCUGCCAGGACCCACUGGGGCCUAUGAGAGGACCAGCUAAGGAGCACACCUGGGGCCACACACGCCCGUGGAAAGCGGUGCUGGGAGGCUAUGCACUCCCCAGGGUGUUCCUGGCUCUUCAGCCCUGAGCCAGCACCCACAGGCCUGGACCCUGUCUAGGUGAUGCCAUGGCCUCUUGGGGUCCCCAGCCACACCUCCCCACCCCCGCAAGCUCUGCCUCCCUCCCCUGUGUGCUCCCUUCAGCUGGAAGACAGACAGGAGCCCCUAUGACCACCCAGGUACCCCACCCCACCCCCAGCCAGCUAACACCAGGGCCCAUCAUGGCGAACACUGCCGCCCACACUCACGAUGAUGAGCAGGAUGAAAUAGAUGAAGUUGUAGAAUGAGUGGGCGUCCAUGACGUAGUACAUGAUGUCCACCCAGCCUUCCAGCGUGAUCACCUGGGGGGGCAGUGGCUUGACUUGGGCCCGCACGACCCCUCCUCCUCCUCCC
rnacentral:lncRNA from 1 species